rnacentral:lncRNA from 1 species
AGCAACUCUCCACAAACCCCACCACAAUCAUCUCCUUGUAUCUCCUCUUCAUCAUUCUCUCUUGCAUCAUCGCCUUUGGCGCCGUCAUCACCAUCACCUACAGCGUCUUCCACGCUUGCUUUAACCGACCAGUCAAACUCAAAGAAGCCCUCAAAUCCAUCAUCACUUCCUUCUUCCCCCUCCUCGCCACCGCAACAGUUGCAUUCGUCGUCUUCUUCUUCAUAUUUUUUCUAUUUGGACUUCUCAUUGGACUUGUAUUGUUUCUCAUCACUUACCUAGGCCAUGUCGACCUCAAAACUAACCCUAACUUGGUUGCGUUAUGUUUCAUGGUACUUUUCAUGAUUGUUUUACUCCCUCUUGUGACGUAUUUGCUAGUUAACUUGAGCUUUAUGAAAAUUAUUGUGGUGGUGGAAUCAAGUUGGGGUUUUGAACCAUUGAGGAGAAGUUGGAAAUUGGUGAAAGGAAUGAAAAGGUUGGUUUUGUCAACCAUUUUAUUGUUUGGAUUCUUGGAAGUGAUAUUGCUGAAGAUAAGUUGUUACAGUUUGGUACUAGUUUUAGUGAUUUCUCCUAUACUUGCAAUUCUUAUGCUUUACAAUAUUGUGGUUAAUACGGUGCUGUACAUACACUGCAAGGAGAAGCAUGGUGAAGUUGCAGAUGUGGAAUUUGGGAACGAAAAAGAUGGGGCUAACUUGUCCUUAAUUCCAGUAUAGAAAUGGUUGAUAAAGUUCCUCGUCUAAGUUGUCUUUGCUUUUAGUUUUUUAUCUUGUACUAAUGUCUUUAACUUUGUGAUUAAUUUAAUGUUUGGUUUGUUCAAGUCUUCUCCUUUGUGAUUAAUUAAUUAUGUGGUUGUUCAAUUUUCUUUCUUUUUCAAACCAAGGUAUAUCCUUUGUAAUAACUGAGUUGUAUACAAAGAUCCUUUAAAAAAAUAAAAAUACAAAGAUAAAUUAUACAUUAGAAAUUGUGUGAAUUUUUUUUCUUCAAAAUUUUGAUAAUUAUUUGUUGCCAAUAAAUUAUUAAUAGAAUUUUUAACAUGUGAUUUAUACAUGAUACCGGUUAAAAUAUUGAACUUUUCCGACUCGGUAUUAUUUAAUACACUUGUUGUUAGAGAAUACAAUUAGACACUUAAAUAAAUAAUAGGUUAUUAUCCAUUAUCAUUGUUAUAUAUAGGGUGUGUUUGGUUUGCAAAACAAUAAUUAUUGGAUAGAACAGUACAACAUAAGGUAGAACAGCACAAGACAAAUUUUGUUGAAGCAUUAAGGUGAUGUUGGAAAAUAAAUUGGAAGAUUAAACAUAAUAGUAAUUAUACUUUGAUCUAAUGUGUGAAUUGAAAAAAUAGAGUGUGGAGGUCCCACGUAAAAUAGAACUCACACAUUAGUAGUGUUUAAAUUGUGAUAUUUAAUUUUAAAUACUUGAUAAUUAUAAAAAUAAUAGUAAUUAUUAUUUUUAUUCGAGAAUAUCACUUCCCAUAAAUUUAGCUUAUGGUGGUUGUGAUAAGAAUAAGAAUUUAAUUGAAUUUUUUAUAUUUUCUUCAUUCAAUCCAACAGUUUGUUUCCUCCACUUUUGUGGAUUUGUUUCAGUUGAUCCUAUCCACAAGUGUUGUUGAACUGAUUAAUGGAUAAACUUCAUUUUAAUCUUAUCGAUUAGAGUAACUGUUGUCGCAAUUUAUGCUAAAACAGUUACAGAAUCUCUAUAAAUAGAAGACUCCACUCAGUUCAAAAAACACACCAAAAAGUUUCAUUGAGUUGACGAGUCUUUCAUCUCUCCAUCUCCUUUUUUCUGUCCCUUCGAAAUUAAGAGUGUUCUUAAACCAUAGUCCCUUUUCGGUUUAAUGUCCCUUUGGAAUUAAGAAUGGUCUUAAAAACAUAGUCCCUUCGAUAAUAUAAGUCCCUUCGGAAUAAAGAGUACUAUUAAGAUCAUAGUCCCUUUUGGAAUAAUAAUGUCCCGUCGGAAUUAAAUCUUAACAGUAUAUAAAUAUUCUUCCAAUAUUUUAAUUGAGGAGAAAUUAAAAAAUGGAAAUGGUGGUAUCACCAUAUUUGAGUGGUCGUAGUGCCAUAUUGAUACUUUGGAGAAAUUAAAGUUAGAAUGGUGGUAACACCAUAUUUGAGUGGUCUCAGCACCAUAAUAGAGCGGUAACAAUACCAUAUCCGAAGGUGUAAAUCUCGAAUGGUUUUCUACACUGCAGUAGUUAACCGCACAAUUGUAACUGAGCUUGUUUUAUCCUGGAGGCGGCGUGGUUGAUAGUUGCCUUGCACAAUUUUGGACAGUGCCAUGAAAUGUCUUAAAAAGAGUGAUCUGGUCGUGACUCAACCUAGUAACAACUUCGGUUGAUAAUAGAAUUUGGAAAUCCAAAUACAACAGUUUGGAAAUCCAAAAACAACAAUUUUAAGACGUUUCGAUCUGACUAUAUUAAUUUCAAAUUUUCUAACUUCAUGAUUUUUAAUUUCUUUCUUCUGUAACUUUUCGUUUUUGGUUCUGGUCCCUGUAAUAUAGUCAGGGAUCUUCUAGAAGGCCACCUAAAUUUCAUAUUUAGGUGUUUUUAAUUUCGUCCCUCUGUACCUUUUCGUUUUUGGUUUUGGUCCCUGUAAUAUAGUCAGGGAUCAUCUGUCAGUCCACAUAAGCGUGUUUAGCCAAGUCAGCACGUGUCACAUUACUCAUGUUGUUAGCCAACAAGGCGUUUUUGUAACAGAGUUUGACAGGAGGGACGAAAAGCAAAAAGUUAUUAACUUACAGGGGUUAUUUUAGAACAAAAAAAGAUACAGGGACGAAAACCAAAAACACGCCAAAUUACACGGACGAUUUACAUAUUUAAGCCCUUUUUAAUUUAAUUAUUAUAGCAUAUGAUUUCAGCAGCCUCUUAAAAAAAAAAGCAUAUGAUUUCAGCAAAAAAAAAAAAAAUUAGUAUAUGAUUUUGCUCCCACUUAACAAUAUUUAUGGAUUCGUCCCUGGUUUGAUCCACUUGUUAAAUGGCAUGAACAUAAACCUCGAAUUGUGAAUUAGAUUAGGCACUAGAUUGACCAAACAAGGACAUAAAGAGGAUUCAGAAAAUUCUAAUCGUCAUCAUUUUGUUUUUGAUUAUCUUUUAUUUUCAAUUGCAAACCAAACCCUGAAAAUACCUUAAUUUAUAGUUUUUAUUAAGUAUUGUUGCUUAAAUUGUCGAGUAGAAAACAACGAUACAUUUUUUUUUGAAGGAAGAAAACAACGAUACAUAUGAAGACGAUUGACUUACUACUUUAUAAUUUAUACGAUUUGAUACACUUACCGAAUUUAUCAUCAUAUUGUGAGAUGCUGUAUAAUUGCAAAAACAUUAAAAUUUAUGUUGACCCUCUCAUUUCCCUCUAGUCUCCUUUUGCGUGUGAAAAUCCCUUUAAGAAACUUGGCAUAUCUUAGAAGCAACUUGAUCACUUCAAAGAGAGGAAUAUUUUUUUUUUUUUUUGAACAAUCAAAGAGAGGAAUAUUCAAUUCAACCUUUCUAAAUAUAUCAAAGAUUUCCCUAUCCAUAUACGAUAUAUGCAUGCAUGAUUCAUUUUCCCUUACAUAACUUCCAGACCCCACUACUUGAAAAAUGAGCAUACAAGCAAUCGCGACAGAUCAUAUCACAAAUGUGAAAACUACACCUGCUGCUCGUUAAGAACCUUAUCAAGCACGAGUUUACAACUACUCUAGUAAAAAACCGUAUAAAAAAACUUAAUAGUGAUGAAGCGAAAAAGAGUACAGGACAAUACAAUGAAAAAAACAUAAAAAAUAAGCCCAUAAAAAACGAGGGCAAAAACCAAAUUCUAACAAAAUUAAGCAAUACGCAAAAAGAACCAAUAGAAAGAGCUAAACAACAUAAAAUUACACUACUUGAAUAUCUAAAAAUAUUACCAAAAGUAGCAUGACCACGACUAUUUAUUUUUAUUUUUUUAAAACAAAGACCACAACUAUAUUUUUAUUUUAAUAAAAAAACCAGGACUAUUAUUACUUAGCUUACGUAGUUGAUAUAAAAUAAUGGUUUUCUUUCUUUCAAAAAUAAAAUAAAAUAAUGGAUUUGUCUAACGUAUUGCAAUGUUAAAACAACUAAAAUAGUAACUUUUAAUUGAAAAAUAAUCAUUUAUUAAAAAGUUAUUAUAUUCAUUAAUAUAAAAUCUAUAAGUUCUAAUAAAAAUUUAUUAUUUUAAAUUUUUUAACGCAUGUAAAUUUGCACAUAGAAAAUCCUAAUAUAAAAAGAGAGAGGGAGAGAGAAAGAAAGUGGGUUGUUAUGCAUGUGAUUUCGAUGAAAUUGCUUUCUUUUUUCUCAGAGGACGAUGCAAUAUUCUACUUCUACCUACAAUUUAAGUUGAUUAUUUCUAUUACUUUUCAAUACUUUUUUUUGACCAAAUCUUUAAUACUUGUCACCAGGGAUAUUAUAUCUUAUAAAAACCGAAGUAUACAUGGUGAAAAAGUUCACAAAAGCCUAGUCUCUCUUACACCAUGGCUCCAAAAAUGUGGGAUCUUCUCUCUGAAUCUAAACGCAUAAUAAAUUCUCAACCUCGUCACUACCUUAAUCUCUACCUCAUCUUCCUCCUUCCCCUCUCUUUCCUCUCCCAAAUCUUCAAACACCUUCAACAGCAACCACCCAGAAACCACAGCACAAUCACCUUUUUAUCUAUCAUCUUCUUACUUAUCUCUUCCAUCUUCAGUUAUGGCGCCGUCAUCACCAUCACCUACAGCGUCUUCCACGCCUUCUUUGAUCGACCGGUCAAACUAAAAGAAGCCAUCAAAUCCAUCACCACUUCUUUCUUCCCCCUCUUCGCCACCAGCAUCAUCACUUAUACUCUCUACUUUUUUGUUUCUUUUUUCUUGACGUUUCUCAUUGGAAUUGUAUUGUUUCUCAUCGUUUAUCUAGGCAAUAUCGACC